CUACGGAGGGUGCAAGCGUUACUCGGAAUCACUGGGCGUAAAGCGCGCGCAGGCGGCCAUUUAAGUUGGAUGUGAAAGCCUACGGCUCAACCGUAGAACUGCAUCCAAAACUAUUUGGCUAGAGUGUGGGAGAGGAAGAUGGAAUUAGUUGUGUAGGGGUAAAAUCCGUAGAGAUAACUAGGAAUACCAAAAGCGAAGGCAAUCUUCUGGAACAUUACUGACGCUGAGGCGCGAAAGCGUGGGGAGCAAACAGGAUUAGAUACCCUAGUAGUCC
rnacentral:rRNA from 1 species